UGCCAGCAGCCGCGGGUAAUACGUAGGGACCGAGCGUUGUUCGGAAUUUAUUGGGCGUAAAGGGUACGUAGCCGGUCUAAUAAGUCAGAUGUGAAACCCUCGGGCUCAUCCUGAGGCCUGCGUCUGAUACUGUUAGGCUAGAGUUACGGAGAGGAAGUCGGAAUUCCUGGUGUAGGGGUGAAAUCUAUAGAUAUCAGGAAGAACAUCGGUUGCGAAGGCUGACUUCUGGACGUUAACUGACGCUGAGGUACGAAAGUUAGGGUAGCAAACAGGAUUAGAGACCCUGGUAGUCCUAACUGUAAACGUUGUAUACUAGGUGGUGGCGUUUUGAUCGCGUCACUGCCGGAGCUAACGCAUUAAGUAUACCGCCUGGGGAGUAUGCCGGCAACGGUGAAACUCAAAGGAAUUGACGGGGGCCCGCACAAGCAGUGGAGCAUGUUGUUUAAUUCGAUGAUACGCGAGGAACCUUACCAGGUCUUGACAUAUACCUGAAUGUUGUAGAGAUACAUCAGUCUUUCGGGACAGGUAUACAGGUGCUGCAUGGUUGUCGUCAGCUCGUGCCGUGAGGUGUUGGGUUAAGUCCCGCAACGAGCGCAACCCUUAUUCUUUGUUGCUAACGUGUUAUGGCGAGCACUCUAAGGAGACUGCCGGUGACAAACCGGAGGAAGGUGGGGAUGACGUCAAAUCAUCACGGCCCUUAUGACCUGGGCUACAAACGUGCUACAAUGGGCGGCACAAAGAGUUGCGAUACCGCGAGGGUGAGCUAAUCUCAAAAAACCGUCCUCAGUUCGGAUUGGAGUCUGAAACUCGACUCCAUGAAGCUGGAAUUGCUAGUAAUCGCAUAUCAGCAAUGAUGCGGUGAAUACGUUCCCGGGCCUUGUACACACCGCCCGUCACAUCACCCGAAUUGAUUAUACCCGAUGUGGCUGAGCCAACCCCUUUUGGGGAGGCAGGUCCCUAAGGUAUGGUUGGUGAGGGGGAUGAAGUCGUA
rnacentral:rRNA from 1 species